GACGAACGCUGGCGGCGUGCCUAAUACAUGCAAGUAGAACGCUGAAGGAGGAGCUUGCUUCUCUGGAUGAGUUGCGAACGGGUGAGUAACGCGUAGGUAACCUGCCUGGUAGCGGGGGAUAACUAUUGGAAACGAUAGCUAAUACCGCAUAAGAGUAGAUGUUGCAUGACAUUUGCUUAAAAGGUGCAAUUGCAUCACUACCAGAUGGACCUGCGUUGUAUUAGCUAGUUGGUGGGGUAACGGCUCACCAAGGCGACGAUACAUAGCCGACCUGAGAGGGUGAUCGGCCACACUGGGACUGAGACACGGCCCAGACUCCUACGGGAGGCAGCAGUAGGGAAUCUUCGGCAAUGGACGGAAGUCUGACCGAGCAACGCCGCGUGAGUGAAGAAGGUUUUCGGAUCGUAAAGCUCUGUUGUAAGAGAAGAACGAGUGUGAGAGUGGAAAGUUCACACUG
rnacentral:rRNA from 1 species